GGGCUUGACAUCCCACGAACCUGCUGGAAACAGUGGGGUGCCCUUCGGGGAGCCGUGAGACAGGUGCUGCAUGGCUGUCGUCAGCUCGUGUCGUGAGAUGUUGGGUUAAGUCCCGCAACGAGCGCAACCCUCACCCCUUGUUGCCAUCAGGUCAUGCUGGGCACUCUAGGGGAACUGCCCCGGUCAACGGGGAGGAAGGCGGGGAUGACGUCAAGUCAUCAUGCCCCUUACGUCCUGGGCUACACACGUGCUACAAUGGCCGGUACAAAGGGAUGCCACACCGCGAGGUAGAGCUAAACCCAAAAAGCCGGUCUAAGUUCAGAUUGGAGUCUGCAACUCGACUCCAUGAAGGAGGAAUCGCUAGUAAUCGCGUAUCAGCACGACGCGGUGAAUACGUUCCCGGGCCUUGUACACACCGCCCGUCACACCACGAAAGCCAGCUGUACUCGAAGUCGCUGAG
rnacentral:rRNA from 1 species